UGCAGCAGUGAAGCAAACCCAGCAGCGAACUACAGCUGGUACAGACACACUGAAGGAGACCUGGAACCACCGACUGGACCAAACCUGACUAUCAGCAACACCAACCUGACUGGACCAAACCUGACCAUCAGCAAUGUCAACCCGGCCCACAGAGGACGAUACUACUGUAGAGCUGAAAACCAACACGGGACUCAGAACACAUCAGUGCUGCUGGACGUCCAGUUUCCACCCAAAAUCUCCAGCUCUUGUAGCCAAAACGACACACUCGUCUGCAUCUGUAAGGUUGACGGGAAUCCUCUGCCUAAACUACAGUGGCGUCUGUCUGGAAAUGUUCUCAAUUCCACUGAAGAAAUGCAGAUAAGUGAGCAAACUGUAGGAAACAAGAGCUUGGAGAGCAUCCUGAGCAUCCGCCAGUCUCUCUCAGACUCAUCAGUCCUGCAGUGUUGGACUGCAAACGCUCACGGAUCCGCCAGCCACCAGUUUCAGCACAUCACAACAACACCAGACACAGGUCUCCAUCCUGCAUGUUUGCUGCUGGGAUUUUCUGUAGGAGCAUCACUCGUCCUG
ensembl:processed_transcript